GCUAAGAGAUGAGUACAACUCUUUGCCAGCCACUAUGGAAGAAAGCCAAGAGAAAAACGGCAGUUCCUGCUUUCAAAGAGCUUACUGGCUGGUGGCUGGAAGGAGACGAGUACAAAGAUUGAUAAGUUCUCUGACACAGCAUGAUGAAAGAAAUGAUUGAAAUGGUGGCUGCUACACAAAGUCCCUAAGUGACUAUUACAAAAAGAGAUGCUGCUGACCAUGAUGGACAUGCAAGGAGAGCAAGAAAUAAA
rnacentral:lncRNA from 10 species